rnacentral:misc_RNA from 1 species
UAUUUCCCAUUUUUUCAUCUCUAAACAAAGAAGAAGAAGAAGAAGAGAAGAAAAUGAGGAGAGUCUUCGGCGUUAAGAAAGAUAAAGAACCUCCUCCUUCUAUUCAAGAUGCUUCCGAUAGGAUUAAUAAAAGAGGUGAUUCAGUGGAUGAGAAGAUCAAAAAGCUUGAUGCUGAGCUCACUAGGUAUAGGGAACAGAUUAAGAAAACACGGCCUGGACCUGCUCAAGAGGCUAUAAAAGCUCGAGCUAUGAGGGUUCUUAAACAAAAGCGAAUGUAUGAAGGACAACGAGACAUGCUUUACAACCAAACGUUCAACCUUGAUCAAGUUGCGUUUGCUUCUGAGGGUAUUAAAGAUGCUCAGCAAACUAUGACGGCUUUGAAAUCUGCUAACAAGGAGUUGAAAGGAAUGAUGAAAACUGUGAAGAUCCAAGACAUAGAUACCUUGCAAGAUGAGAUGAUGGACUUGAUGGAUGUGAGUAACGAAAUCCAAGAGACCCUGGGUAGAAGCUACAAUGUUCCAGAUGAUAUUGAUGAGGAUGAACUCAUGGGAGAACUGGAUGCAUUGGAGGCAGACAUGGGAAUGGAAACUGAAUCUGAUGGUGUACCUUCUUAUCUCCAACCUGAUAAGGAACCUGAUCUGGAAUCAGAAAUCAACUUGCCCUCGGCACCAAUAGGACAUGCAGCAGCACCAGUGGGUAGAAAUAAUGCCCAGGCUGAAGAUGAACUAGGUUUACCUGCUGUCCCUCGGGCGUCAAUACGCGGUUAGAUGACUACUUGGUGUAGUCCAUGUGUAUAUUUAAAAGGAGUUGUGGUGCCAGAAUCUGCUUUGACUUGAUCCCGUGAUUUGAUUCGAUUGUUAAUUGGAGGUUGAACUUAUUUCUUCUAAUAGAUUUCUUUUCUUUUAACCCUUCACAUUGGCAAUAACUACUGGGGAUAUUUUCGUGUAAAAUUUGAAAAUCUAUUUGAUGGAUAUAUAUAUUUGCGUGUGCAGGCA